rnacentral:rRNA from 1 species
UACGGAGGGAGCUAGCGUUAUUCGGAAUUACUGGGCGUAAAGCGCACGUAGGCGGCUUUGUAAGUAAGAGGUGAAAGCCUGGAGCUCAACUCCAGAAUUGCCUUUUAGACUGCAUCGCUUGAAUCAUGGAGAGGUCAGUGGAAUUCCGAGUGUAGAGGUGAAAUUCGUAGAUAUUCGGAAGAACACCAGUGGCGAAGGCGGCUGACUGGACAUGUAUUGACGCUGAGGUGCGAAAGCGUGGGGAGCAAACAGG